rnacentral:rRNA from 1 species
GACGAACGCUGGCGGCGUGCUUAACACAUGCAAGUCGAACGGAAAGGCCCUGCUUUUGUGGGGUGCUCGAGUGGCGAACGGGUGAGUAACACGUGAGUAACCUGCCCUUUACUUUGGGAUAACUUCAGGAAACUGGGGCUAAUACCGUAUAGGAGCUCCUGCUGCAUGGUGGGGGUUGGAAAGUUUCGGCGGUUGGGGAUGGACUCGCGGCUUAUCAGCUUGUUGGUGGGGUAGUGGCUUACCAAGGCUUUGACGGGUAGCCGGCCUGAGAGGGUGACCGGCCACAUUGGGACUGAGAUACGGCCCAGACUCCUACGGGAGGCAGCAGUGGGGAAUAUUGCACAAUGGGCGGAAGCCUGAUGCAGCAACGCCGCGUGCGGGAUGACGGCCUUCGGGUUGUAAACCGCUUUCGCCUGUGACGAAGCGUGAGUGACGGUAAUGGGUAAAGAAGCACCGGCUAACUACGUG